CAGAUGUGAUAGUUACAAGAUAUAAUAUAGAGUAAUGCAUUUUGGUUAAUAAAAGUUUGGAGUCCGUUAUAGAGAUUGUGAAAUUAGGCUGCAAAAAGGUUGCGGAAGAUACCGACCCACAUACAUUGUUCUCUCAUCCUUCCUGUUCAAAAAGACUGACGACCACGCCACCACGACGGCGUCACCGACGACGGCCUACUGCCACCACCGCUCGGUCCUUUACAACUUGAAAACCGAAACCCUAGGUCUGAAAAUCGGCAUCUCCGUUACGGUUACAAUAUUCGUUACGAUCUCCGUUACGGUUUCUGAUAAAAUUCGGUUUCUUCGAGUUUGAUGAACUACUACCGAUACAACCGCCGUUAGUAACCGCUAUCUGUGACUGAGGCGAGGUUUGUUGUACGGCCGUUGAGUAACUGCAACCGGAUUGUUGACGGACUUUCAGUCGCUGAUAUACGGAGAAACCGAACGAUUGACCGUCGGAUUCCGGAUUAUGACGGUUCAGAUCUAUCGACUGAGGUUGAGAUUCUUUGAAUCCGCCGGUGAGUAUAGUCAUCGGCCGGAUAAAAGUUUUCAGGUGAUUCAUGAUGAUGGAGGAUGAUAAUAUGGAUGAUAUGGAAAGCCACUCAUUUACACCAACUUUGAAUUUUUGGUAUUGCAUUUGUCUUCGAGACUUUAUGUUUUUUAAUGGAAUUGAUUAUGAACAAAUAAGGAUUGCAUUUUAAUGAAAGUUUGUGUUUUUAUUAUGA